CCUACGGGAGGCUGCAGUGAGGAAUAUUGGUCAAUGGGCGUAAGCCUGAACCAGCCAAGUCGCGUGAGGGAUGACGGUCCUAUGGAUCGUAAACCUCUUUUAUAAGGGAAUAAAGUGUGCUACGUGUCCCGUUUCUUAUGUACCUUAUGAAUAAGGCUCGGCUUACUCCGUGCCAGCAGCCGCGGUAAUACGGAGGGUCCGGGCGUUAUCCGGAUUUUUUUGGGUUAAAGGGUGCGGAGGCCGCCAUUUAAGGUUGGGGUGAAAGUCUGUGGCUCAACCGUCGCAUUGCCGUUGAAACUGGGGGGCUUGAGUGGGCGAGAGGCAGGCGGAAUGCGUGGUGUAGCGGUGAAAUGCUUAGAUAUCACGCAGAACCCCGAUUGCGAAGGCAGCCUACCGGGGCAUAACUGACGCUGAAGCACGAAAGCGUGGGGAUCGAACAGGAUUAGAUACCCUAGUAGUC
rnacentral:rRNA from 1 species